CUAGUGAAGGAGAAAGAGGAGCGGCAAAGAGAUCAGGAGGAGCUAUUGAAGGAGAAAGAGGCGCGCGAAAGAGAUCGGGAGGAAAUUACGAGGGAAAGAAAGCAGCUAAUCAAACAAGUUGAUGAAGAAAAAAAAGCACAGGAGGCACAACAAGUACAACUCAAUCAUCUAAACGACGUGGUGUCACGGCUCACAACCCUCUUGCCAGGUUCAGAUGGUCAUCCUACUAUUCGGUUAUGAGGCAAAAUGUGAGUAGACAUUGCAGCAGCCGACCUGGUGUUUUGAUACAUUACACAAAGGACCGUACUCUGAUUUCUAUAAGAUGGCUUUUGGCAUUGACAUGUGGAUCUUCUAAUUUUUUCUCGGAAGAUACACUUAUGCAAAGUUGGGAAGUUUUUUGUCGUCCUAUACUUUUUGCUGUGGACUGUGGAUGCAUCGAACAUAUAAUUUUUGACGGGGUACAAAGUAUUUUUGGAGCUUGUAUUAAUUGCUCCGGUG